rnacentral:lncRNA from 1 species
AAAAAAAAAAAAAUCCGAAAGAAAUUAGUAGCAAUUCAAACAUUAAAUCAAGACCUGUAAUGGAUAAGAGAACAAAUCGGUAUAAGAUAUAAUGGUAUCAGUUAAAAGUAAUAAAUGGCAUUGCAAGGUAUGUCGAGAUAUAGCAAUUGCUGGACAAAGAAUGGCAAUCAGGACAAAGAAAAUAUUAUCCUGAAUAAUACAAACGUUAGAAAGUUGAGAAAGCAGUAUGUUCCAAUGGAUUCAGAUGGCAUUAAAAAGAUAAAUAUGGAAAUAAAGAGGCGUAUACUAUAUAUCCAACUGUGGAUAAAAAAAUGCAAGUAAAUGUUAUUUAUUUAAAAUCGAAUAUUUUUACAUGAAUUUGCUACAAAUGUUUAUAAAUAUCUCUCUGAGAAUGAAAGAAUUUUUCGGUUAAAAUCAGAAAGUGAUUGAUCUCUUUUCCGGUUUUAUGGAAGCGCUGUUUCUUAAACCAUAACGUAACGAUCGGUAUUGAAUACAAUAUGUCUACUUACUUAUUAAUCUGGGUAUUAAUUAUAACUUAUUAAAAAUAAUUGUCC